rnacentral:rRNA from 1 species
UUGAUUAUGGCUCCGGACGAACGCUGGCGGCGUGCUUACACAUGCAAGUCGAGCGAUGAAGUUUCUUCGGAAAUGGAUUAGCGGCGAACGGGUGAGGAACACGUGAAGAAUCUGCCCUCCACUUUGGGAUAACACAGGGAAACCUGUGCUAAUACCGAAUAUUGAAACAUAAGUGGCAUCACUGAGUUUUGAAAGAAUUUCGGUGGAGGAUGACUUCGCGGCCUAUCAGCUAGUUGGUGAGGUAAUGGCUCACCAAGGCAACGACGGGUAGCCGGCCUGAGAGGGCGACCGGCCACACUGGGACUGAGACACGGCCCAGACUCCUACGGGAGGCAGCAGUGGGGAAUAUUGGGCAAUGGAGGAAACUCUGACCCAGCGACGCCGCGUGCGGGAUGAAGGCCUUCGGGUUGUAAACCGCUUUCAGUAGGGAAGAAGCGAAAGUGACGGUACCUACAAAAGAAGCACCGGCUAACUAUGUGCCAGCAGCCGCGGUAAUACAUAGGGUGCAAGCGUUGUCCGGAAUUAUUGGGCGUAAAGAGCUCGUAGGUUGUUUGUUACGUCGGAUGUGAAAACCUGAGGCUCAACCUCAGGCCUGCAUUCGAUACGGGCAAACUAGAGUUUGGUAGGGGAGACUGGAAUUCCUGGUGUAGCGGUGGAAUGCGCAGAUAUCAGGAGGAACACCAAUGGCGAAGGCAGGUCUCUGGGCCAAUACUGACACUGAGGAGCGAAAGUCUGGGGAGCGAACAGGAUUAGAUACCCUGGUAGUCCAGACCGUAAACGGUGGGCACUAGUUGUGGGGACCUUCCACGGUCUCUGCGACGCAGCUAACGCAUUAAGUGCCCCGCCUGGGGAGUACGAUCGCAAGAUUAAAACUCAAAUGAAUU